AUGGGCGGCGCGAGCGUCACCUCCACCACCCUGUCUGGCGGUUCGGAGAGCGAAGACGGCGGCACCUUCUCUGCGGCGCUCGUCCCCGGAGGUGGAUCGAGUCGCAGCUUGCUGGCGCGGGCUUAUCCGCAGGAGAUUUGGCGUCGGGGCGAGCCUUGUCUCCGGCCGGAGAGAAGCCAUGUCAUGCUAACGCGCACUCCAUCCAUGGAUGCGUUUGAGGCUCGCCACCGCGGGCUCGUCCUACUGGCCACUGCUGUAGGAGACGGCGAGGAGGCUCUGACGCCGGCCGCACUGCUGGCCGCCAUCCAGGAGCGCUUUGGCGUGCUGCCGUCGGAGUUGAGCAUCGAGGUGGCCUGCCCCCCUCAUGACCUGUGGCUGUUGUUCUCAACGGAGGAGAAGUGCACGGUGGUGCUCCAAUCGUCGAUGAAGUUGAGGUGCUGCCGCCGGUGGAUCAAGUUUGAGCGCUGGGUAAGAGAGAUUCGCGGCACUCCGGCUGCUCUGGAGUACAAGUGCAAGCUUAGUUUCGAAGGCCUUCCCGAUCAGGCGUGGUCGAAGCAGUCAGUGAAAGGCCUGCUGAAGGACUUGGGCGGAGAGCUGAUAGAGAUCAUACCGCCGAAGAAUCGGCGCGAGCUGGAGGUAAUGGCGUGGCUCCGUGACCCAUCUAAAGUUGGCAAAGUGGUGGACGUGGAGAUACCCGAGCCUAUGCUGGCAUUGUGCACAGAUCCUCCUCCACAGUCGCUUGAAGAGUUCGUCGACCGUGAAAUGGCCUCGUCCUACGGUCCUUCGUCGCCGAGGAAGAAGAAGACUCUGUUGUAUCCUGUGAUCUGUCACAUGAAGGAGGUGACUGAUCGUGGUCCGCUGCUCGUCGAAGGCCUGCCUGAUGCAUGGCUGCCGAAUGAAGGGGAGGACCUGACUCGCAAGCACCGAUUCAGCACUGUGCUUGGACAAAUCGAUGGCAGUAUCUGUGAUUUCUAA
rnacentral:rRNA from 1 species